UCCGUAGCUCAGCUGGAUAGAGUACUCGGCUACGAACCGAGCGGUCGGAGGUUCGAAUCCUCCCGGA
rnacentral:tRNA from 22 species